ACACCGGCCGCUCAAGUGGUAGCCGCUUUUAUUGGGCCUAAAGCGUCCGUAGCCGGUCUGAUAAGUCUCUGGUGAAAUCCCACAGCUUAACUGUGGGAAUUGCUGGAGAUACUAUCAUGACUCGAGGUCGGGAGAGGCUGGAGGUACUCCCAGGGUAGGGGUGAAAUUCUGUAAUCCUGGGAGGACCACCUGUGGCGAAGGCGUCCAGCUGGAACGAACCUGACGGUGAGGGACGAAAGCCAGGGGCGCGAACCGGAUUAGAUACCCGGGUAGUCCUGGCCGUAAACGAUGUGGACUUGGUGUUGGGAUGGCUUCGAGCUGCCCCAGUGCCGAAGGGAAGCUGUUAAGUCCACCGCCUGGGAAGUACGGCCGCAAGGCUGAAACUCAAAUGAAUUGACGGG
rnacentral:rRNA from 1 species